GAUGAACGCUCGCGGCGUGCCUAAUACAUGCAAGUCGAGCGAACAGAUAAGGAGCUUGCUCCUUUGACGUUAGCGGCGGACGGGUGAGUAACACGUGGGUAACCUACCUAUAAGACUGGAAUAACUCCGGGAAACCGGGGCUAAUGCCGGAUAACAUGUUGAACCGCAUGGUUCUACAGUGAAAGGCGGCUUUGCUGUCACUUAUAGAUGGACCCGCGCCGUAUUAGCUAGUUGGUGAGGUAACGGCUCACCAAGGCAACGAUGCGUAGCCGACCUGAGAGGGUGAUCGGCCACACUGGAACUGAGACGCGGUCCAGACUCCGAGGGGAGGCAGCAGUAGGGAAUCUGCCGCAAUGGGCGAAAGCCUGACGGAGCAACGCCGCGUGAGUGAUGAAGGUCUUCGGAUCGUAAAACUCUGUUAUUAGGGAAGAACAAAUGCGUAAGUAACUGUGCGCGUCUUGACGGUACCUAAUCAGAAAGCCACGGCUAACUACGU
rnacentral:rRNA from 1 species